UCCAGUACUGUUUUUGGUCUCUGUGUGCU
rnacentral:piRNA from 1 species